AGCGUAGGUUGCAGAGUAAGUCAGAUGUGAAAGCCCGUUGCUUAACAGCGGGAUUGCAUCAGAAACUGCUUUGCUAGAGUGCAGGAGAGGUAAGUGGAAUUCCUAGUGUAGCGGUGAAAUGCGUAGAUAUUAGGAGGAACAUCAGUGGCGAAGGCGGCUUACUGGACUGUAACUGACACUGAGGCUCGAAAGCGUGGGGAGCAAACA
rnacentral:rRNA from 1 species